UGCAUAUGCUUUUCUCGUGUCUAAAUAUCCCGCGAGAUGACGCUCGCGUACCUUUAACGAGAUACUUGUUUAACGACGAGAGGUAAUGUUAAAAAUUUAUUAACAAAUUUCAAAAUACUACUCUGAAAUUUGGACGGAUAUUUCCUUAGACCAUUAUCAGUCUUUUUGUUAAAAUGUAAAAAGUUCUAAGCUUCAAACUAAUUGUACAUUACUGACACGACAUCCAUAACCAAAUACACAUCGCUGCAAAUGUUGCAUCAAGCUAUAAUCAUAACAUUAAGAUAUCAAUUUACAAACCUGCAAAAAAUGCAUUAAUGGAAUAUGCAAAACUUACAUAGAUGUAAUAACCUCCUACAAGCCAAAGUCCAAAAACUAAUUGGAAUAAACAUACAAUGAACCAUAAUAUAAGCCAGGGAAGUAACCAUCCUCUUAUUCCUUCUCUUAAUCCAUGCAUCAACAAACCGCUUGAUAUUAUCAAGAGAGCAAAAUAAAAGAUCAUAAAUCCUCCAGCAAUUUGCAUUGCUAAAAAAUCAUAUAUAUAUAUAUAAUGUGUAAAUAUAAUGGAGUAACUGGUAUAUAUAUAUAUUACCAAUACACAAUUGUAUUACUUACAUCCUCUAAUAUCAGCCUCAAACAGAGGAUUAUACAAUUGAGAUGAAUCGCCUCCAUUUAAUUGAUAACAUACCAAUGUAAUGCAUAUUAUACUAAUUGCCUACAACAGGAGAUAAGCAAUUUGAAGUCAUAUAAAAUUAAAAUAUAGUGAAACAGUUAUAUUAAAUUUAAAAUACAUACUAUUGUAUAAAAAGCAAUAGCUUUGCAUCCUGUCUUGAUGUUAUUGGUCCAAACAAAUGGUGACCAGCAGGAUUCCAAUAUGGUCAUGAUUCUGUUAAAAUAAAAAUUUACGUGUAAUAAUUCUAAUAGCGUCUAUUAACUAGAGAACGCGGAUGAUUCGAUUAAUAAACACCACCCACUUGUUGGUGUAUUCAAGAUUCAAGGUUUGGGCGUCAACACGUAAAAGGUCUACCAACAUACAAAUUUCAUAAACUAGAAAAUACUAGCGAACGAAUUUAAUGAAAAUGUUACUUUUUAUCCAUUUCUGAAUGCCACUUUGAAAUUUAAACUUCCAACUUAAGUAACAUAUUAAUAUAUUUUGAAGCGUGUAAGAGAAAGGUAUUAAAAUCAUUAAUGUCGAACACCAUUGUUAUGAAUGAAAAUUUUAUCUAUACAUACGAAAGUAUAACAUCCAAAUCUUGAACAAGAAUAUAAUUAAAAAAAAAACUGCUAGUUUUAUAAUUAUACAAAUGUGAAACUGGAGUUCGUAUUUUGAUAUUUUAAUGUAAUAUUUUAUGAAUCAUUUACUUUAUUUCCUACUCCACGUGAUUGGUUAUCAGAUACACCUUCGAAGGUAGUCACCGGUUACCAAAUUUCAAAUAUUUUAACCAUUUGGAAUGUUUCACUGCUAACAAACAAUGCCACGCACGCGUCAGUAAGUGUACUGUUAAUGGCGCUGUAUCAGCGUUUGGUUCCCCUCCACUUUGCUGCAGGAUUGUUAUGGCGGUUCCCUCAAUACUCGAGCGUAACCUGAUAAAAUGUAUUGUCUCAGUUCUUGUAAGUAAUGUUUAAAUUUCAGUACAGAAGUAUCGGAUAUAUAUAAUUAAAGUAUGACUAGUAGGUUUAUUUAUCAAAGGUCGAAAAAGAAUUUUUUUUAUUCUAAUGUAUCUAUAAUGAACUGACAGUUUUCCUCGGCAAUAACUUUUACAAUUGGAAAGUAUGAAUUGCUUUAAUUUAUUAUGUAUAACAUAAAAUAAAAUUUUAUCACAACA